AAAAAGGCCUGUUGUCGUAAGUUGCACACAAGGGCAGGUUGGUUGCUCUUCAUGCAGAAUUGACAUCAGGAGAUUUUGGAAGCAUAUUUUUUUUUGGUUGUUGGCAGCUGGUGAUUGUGGUAUCGAUGCCCUU